rnacentral:rRNA from 1 species
GACGAACGCUGGCGGCGUGCUUAACACAUGCAAGUCGAACGGAAAGGCCCUGCUUUUGUGGGGUGCUCGAGUGGCGAACGGGUGAGUAACACGUGAGUAACCUGCCCUUGACUUUGGGAUAACUUCAGGAAACUGGGGCUAAUACCGGAUAGGAGCUCCUGCUGCAUGGUGGGGGUUGGAAAGUUUCGGCGGUUGGGUAUGGACUCGCGGCUUAUCAGCUUGUUGGUGGGGUAGUGGCUUACCAAGGCUUUGACGGGUAGCCGGCCUGGGAGGGUGACCGGCAACAUGGGAAGUGAGAAACGGCCCAGACUCCUACGGGAGGCAGCAGUGGGGAAUAUUGCAAAAUGGGCGGAAGCCGGAUGCAGCAACGCCGCGUGCGGGAUGACGGCCUUCGGGUUGUAAACCGCUUUCGCCUGUGACGAAGCGUGAGUGACGGAAAUGGGUAAAGAAGAACCGGCUAACUACGU